rfam:Echinococcus multilocularis genomic scaffold, pathogen_EMT_contig_1025
AAUGACGAUAUUUGUGAUCUACGAGUGUGUGGUCGAAUUUUUGGGAUGAGUAUGGCUUUGAAGUAAUAUUUUGGGGGCUAUAGCGGCAAUGUAUUGGGACGCAAUGAUGGCCUUUGGAUUAUUACCAGACGAAGUAUUACUGAUGUCGACUGGCGCCUGUUUGUAGGUCAUUAGCGGUGUACAAAUUUGAGUGCUCAAGUCAGGCCGAUGUUGCCUGCAGAGUUUUGCAUGGAAUAAUGGAAGAGGACUUCGGUUCUAUUUCGUUGGUUUUCGGAUCCGAAGUAAUGAUCAAAAGAGACAGGCGGGGGCGUUUGUAUGGCUGCGCUAGAGGUGAAAUUCAUGGACCGUAGCCAGACAAACUAAAGCGAAGGCAUUCGUCAAGCAUGUUUUCAUUGGCCAUGAGCGAAAGUCAGAGGCUCGAAGACGAUCAGAUACCGUCCUAGUUCUGACCAUAAACGAUGCCAACUGACGAUCCGUGGUGGUAGUGAUGUUGCCUUCCCCACGGGCAGUCGCCGGGAAACCGUUAAGUGUUUGGGUUCCGGGGGAAGUAUGGUUGCAAAGCUGAAACUUAAAGGAAUUGACGGAAGGGCACCACCAGGAGUGGAGCCUGCGGCUUAAUUUGACUCAACACGGGAAAACUCACCCGGGCCGGACACUGUGAGGAUUGACAGAUUGAGAGCUCUUUCUUGAUUUGGUGGUUGGUGGUGCAUGGCCGUUCUUAGUUGGUGGAGCGAUUUGUCUGGUUAAUUCCGAUAACGAACGAGACUCCAGCCUGCUAAUUAGUGCGUUCGUCCACUGCGCCCGCGUGGGUGACGUUGGACGAUGCCGUCUGCCGUGGGUGCGCGGUUUGCGCUCUUGCCCUCUCCUCUCCUCCCCUCCUGCACUUCUUCGUGUGAGGGUGGUGGGGUGGGGUGGGGUGGGCGAGGUUGCAGGUUCACGCCCGUGGUUGGUUAGUUUGGCGUUGGCCCGCGGGUGCGGCGCGAGUGUAUACUUCUUAGAGGGACAAGCGGGAGAAGCCGCGCGAGAUAGAGCAAUAACAGGUCUGUGAUGCCCUUAGAUGUCCGGGGCCGCACGCGCGCUACAAUGACGGUGUCAACGAGUGGGACCUUCUGGCCCGAGAGGGUUGGGCAAACUGGUCAAUCACCGUCGUGACAGGGAUCGGGGCUUGGAAUUGUUCCCCGUGAACGAGGAAUUCCUAGUAAGUGCAAGUCAUAAGCUUGCGCUGAUUACGUCCCUGCCCUUUGUACACACCGCCCGUCGCUACUACCGAUUGAAUGGCUUAGUGAGAUCCUUGGAUCGGCGUCAUUGUGGCAGCUGCCGGAAGGUCGCUGUCCUGCAGUCGCCGAGAAGACGACCGAACUUGGUCAUUUAGAGGAAGUAAAAGUCGUAACAAGGUUUCCGUAGGUGAACCUGCGGAAGGAUCAUUA